ensembl:lncRNA
CCCCCCCCCCCGGGCCGGUGGGAAGGUUUUAUCUGCAGAGCUUUUCAGCGUGUUUUGUUUUGUUGUUGUUUUCCCUCUACGUGUUGAUGAGGCUGCAUUUUACUUGAUUAACUCUCCCUCCCCAGUUCUCACGCGUGCACCGGUUCACUUUUCCAGAUUAAACCGUGUCAACGGGUCAGGCUGCAUGCUUAUAUAUCCAUUCAAGCACGAGCCACCGGCUGAAUAACAGUGACUCACCCCCUCGCCCCCCCUCCUCCCCCUCUCGCUCAGAGCCAGACUGAUCAGUCCAAGACUCAUCAGUUCGAUGCCCCGGAUUCAUCCCCCAGGAUAAAUAUAUACAAUGUGUUUAACGGCUUAACAGGCCUGCGCGCGCACACACACACACACGCACACGGUUGUCUAUGUGUACAUUUAGCAGUGCUAGCUGGAGAUAGUGAAAGAUGGUAAACAAGGGAGAGAACGAACUGACCUCCAUCCCCUUUUACAGCCGCGACCCCCAUUGGUGAUAUAAAAGUCCGUAAAACAGAUAAAACCAUAGUGGCUCUGUGUUGAGCUUCACGCUCAGGGCACAUGUUAAGCUAGUAUGCUAACAUAUAGCUGUGGCUAUAGUGGGUUUUUUUUUUUGUGAGGGACAAAACAUAAAUGAUGCAACACAAAGCUGGCCGGGGCUGCGUUGUGUCUCUGUUCUCCCCUGUUGCCUUGAAUAAGGCAGAGACCCCCUGCUGCACGACCUUUGCUAACAUUUGUGUUGUACACAAAACUCUCCCGCACAAAAAUCUCAUCAUCUGGACUUUCUCUUUGUGUACAUUGAACAACGCAUUUCAAUGUCAAGCAAAAGUUUCCCACUGGUUAAACGAAUGAUAUCCUAUUCUCUUUUUAUUACCUUGAGCUUUACCAAAGCGCCGUGUCUGCUGUGCUCCCAAAGACACUUCAAAGGUCAAAGGGUUCAUGUGUGUGCAGAGAAACAGAGACACGAUGCGACGAACUGGGACCUACAAUGUCAAAAACAGCAACAAAGGCAUGACGUCUAAUAACGUAACGCAAAGGUGGUUUUUAUUGACUGUAAGUAAAAGAACAGACAGAAUUCCACACACAGAAUCCUUCACUUUAGGAGAUAUUUUAACUUUUUAGUUGACAGGAUUGAUAUGAAUCUGAGAAAAGACUAUAAAACGCACUUUGUUAGCGGUCGCUGUGUCCUGUUCCACUGGCGUUUUAGGACCCGCCGUUUAUCUGUAAUGGAGAUUUUCACGCUCUCAACGCAGGAUGGACCCGAACAUUUGCCAGCGCAGCAUUGCAAGUUCUUACAUAAACAAGCGUCAUCCGCCGAGCGGAGAUAUUUAACCCACUACAGUCAGAGAGUUAAACGCCGUGGUUUCAUCACACACGCGACCAGGUGCAGGAGCUGGAAUGUGCAGAGCCGAGGAGUAAAUCUGAUGAAAGUCGUGCUCUCGUGGUGCAGGGAGAGAGGAAAGAGGUCCAUCUGCAGGCAACACGAUUCUUUAUUUUAUUUUUAUUGAAGGACUUAAGCACAAGUAGGAGAGCUAGCAUGCUACGUCCUCAUUAAGCGAAGCCCAGACUGGAUUUGAAAAACACAAUGUCACCUAAUGGAGACUCUGCAUGGCACCAGACACCACCCCCCUCCGUCAAUCACUACCCCUCCACCCGGACGAAGGCGCCCAGUCGAUUCAUCUCACUGGGAAAACGCGAGCCACACGGAAAAAACGAAACCGAAGCCUCGGCAGCAGCUGCGCUUGUUUGGGAGCGAGGCGGCGGCCUUUGUCGUGGAACCCCGGUGUCGUGGACGGCCGAUAAUGACGGGGGGAAAUGGAAACCGAGCCCACCGUAAUGUCAAACCCCGUCCCUGGGGGGGGGGGGCGGGGCACAAUGCCGGACCUGUUUAGAGCCGAAGCGGGCCGACAGAGGCGGCAAAAGUGGGAAAUAAGGGCGGGAGAUGGAAGGACGGAUAAGACACCGGGGAGAGCGACAGAGUGUGAGUGUGUAUGCCUGUCUGAAUUGUCUAGCUGUGUGUGUGUGUGUGUGUGUGUGUGUGUGUGUGUGUGUGUGCCUGGCGUACUUUCAUCUCCCAAAUCUCCCCGUGGCUCUAAUUCAUAGUGACCCCCUCCAUUGUUAGGGAGCAGAUGAGCCGGGUCCGCUGAUUGAAUGGAGUCUACCGGGAGGCCGUCUCUCUGUUUCCUCCACUAUUCCCCCGGCUGUCUCUCUUCAUUCUCAUCGCAGCGUCAGAGCAGAGGUGCCCGGGUAACACGCACACAGUCAUACUUAUAUAUAUAUGUAUAUAUAGAGAGCGCCUCGGGGCAAAGAAAAAGGGGCAAGGAGAAGCGUCUUUCUUUAUUGCUCUGAUCAAAACAUUCAUCCAUCCCGUCCUUCCCCUCCUCCCUCCCUUCUAUUCCUCUCGCCUUAUUAAAUCACUCCUUCUAUUUCAGCGGGAUUUAUCCACGGUAUUAGUCUCCCCCCCCCCGACUGAGGCGCACACACACAUAUUUGUGCAUACAGUGCGUCCCUCUUUCGUGGAGAUGAAUUAAGAGCAUGUAUGAGAGUUGGCCAAAGGAAAGCGUGUUCCACGACACCCUCAAAGGAAGCCAAGCCAAGGAGAACCGAGCGAACCGAGACCAGACCAAGACCGUAAGGGGCUGAGAUCGAGUCAAGACCAAGACCGUAAGGGGCUGAGAUCGAGACAAGACCAAGACCGUAAGGGGCUGAGAUCGAGACAAGACCAAGACCGUAAGGGGCUGAGAUCGAGUCAAGACCAAGACCGUAAGGGGCUGAGAUCGAGACAAGACCAAGACCGUAAGGGGCUGAGAUCGAGACGAGACCAAGACCGUAAGGGGCUGAGAUCGAGACGAGACCAAGACCGUAAGGGGCUGAGAUCGAGACGAGACCAAGACCGUAAGGGGCUGAGAUCGAGUCAAGACCAAGACCGUAAGGGGCUGAGACCGAGACGAGACCAAGACCGUAAGGGGCUGAGAUCGAGUCAAGACCAAGACCGUAAGGGGCUGAGAUCGAGUCAAGACCAAGACCGUAAGGGGCUGAGACCGAGACAAGACCAAGACUGUAAUGUAUCGAGAUCGAGACUCUAGGAGGGUAGAGACCAAGUCAAGACCAAGGGUGGGGGGGUGAUACCAGACGAGUCCAGAACGAGUCCAGUUCCAGGAGCUCUGUGUCUUUUGGGUUUCUCUCAUAGUGGAUUGGUUGACUAAUCGCUUGUUUUGAUCUUAGUCCACCAGGAUCUCUUGUUGUUCUUUGAGAUUUUUCCUGCGCUGAAUAACUCAUCUCCGGGAAACACUUUGCAUGAUUCUUUGAGGAAAUUUUAGGUUCUACAUCCAUCAAAUAAACAAAUUAAUGUAUUAACAAAUCGGACGUGUUAUCGGAGUUCUCCGUUUGCCCAAGACAGACA